rnacentral:rRNA from 1 species
GAUGAACGCUGGCGGCGUGCCUAACACAUGCAAGUCGAGCGAUUUACUUCGGUAAAGAGCGGCGGACGGGUGAGUAACGCGUGGGUAACCUGCCCUGUACACACGGAUAACAUACCGAAAGGUAUGCUAAUACGAGAUAAUAUACUUUUAUCGCAUGGUAGAAGUAUCAAAGCUUUUGCGGUACAGGAUGGACCCGCGUCUGAUUAGCUAGUUGGUAAGGUAACGGCUUACCAAGGCGACGAUCAGUAGCCGACCUGAAAGGGUGAUCGGCCACAUUGGAACUGGGACACGGUCCAAACUCCUACGGGAGGCAGCAGUGGGGAAUAUUGCACAAUGGGCGAAAGCCUGAUGCAGCAACGCCGCGUGAGCGAUGAAGGCCUUCGGGUCGUAAAGCUCUGUCCUCAAGGAAGAUAAUGACGGUACUUGAGGAGGAAGCCCCGGCUAACUACGUGCCAGCCGCCGCAGUAA